rnacentral:tRNA from 1 species
UUUUUUUAGUAUAUGUGUAUGACUGUUUUCCAUACAGUAGGAUUAGGUUUCCUAAAAGAAAUAU